rnacentral:rRNA from 1 species
UCCAGACUCCUACGGGAGGCAGCAGUGGGGGAUAUUGCACAAUGGGGGAAACCCUGAUGCAGCGACGCCGCGUGAGUGAAGAAGUAUUUCGGUAUGUAAAGCCCUAUCGGCAGGGAAGAAGCAAGACGGUACCUGACUAAGAAGCCCCGGCUAACUACGUGCCAGCAGCCGCGGUAAUACGUAGGGGGCGAGCGUUAUCCGGAUUCACUGGGUGUAAAGGGAGCGUAGACGGCCAUGCAAGCCAGGGGUGAAAGCCCGGGGCCCAACCCCGGGACUGCUCUUGGAACUGCGUGGCUGGAGUGCAGGAGGGGCAGGCGGAAUUCCUGGUGUAGCGGUGAAAUGCGUAGAUAUCAGGAGGAACACCGGUGGCGAAGGCGGCCUGCUGGACUGCAACUGACGUUGAGGCCCGAAAGCGUGGGGAGCAAACAGGAUUAGAUACCCUCGUAGC